ACCCUCCCUCCUCAGAGAUCCUUCCUCCACCCUCCCUCCUCGCUCAUAGCUCCUCAGAGAUCCCUCCUUCCUCCUCGCUCUUAGAUCCUCAGAGAUCCUUCCUCCAUCCUCCCUCAUAGCUCCUCAGAGAUCUCUCCUCUACCAUCACUCCUCGGGGCAGGAAUAAGAGCUUGGAGACGGCCUACAAGAAAGAGGGACAGAACAACUCCUGGUUCAACCGAGGAGCGAGGAACUAUCAAAUAAGUAAAGUGAGAUGCAAUUUUGAAAUCCUUCCAGCCGUGAACACAAUUAAGCAAUGACAUUAAUAUCAAAAUGCUACAUGUAGAACCCUAAAAAGG